CCGCUUCCCCGGCCGUGCUGAGGAUGAAGACAUUCGCAAGAUGUGGAUUAAAAACGUACACCGAAAGGACUUUGCCCCCAAACAAGUAUUCAAGGGUGUGUGGAGUACACUUCCCUGACGGCAGACCAACGCAGGAACACCCAUAUCCCAUAAUAUGGGAUAUGAAUAUAGUAAAGCACCAUCAUGUGGAAGACCACCCCCAAAGAGGAGAUGUCUCCAGCCCCCAACAGAGAGACUUGGAUUAAUGUUGAGAGGAUUAUUGUUCAAUACGGUGCAGAAAAACUUGGUUCAGUUAUAUGUAGAUAUCUAUCAUCUUUCAAGAAAUCCUUCAUCCCCUCAGCUGUGACCAUACUGAACAAGAGAUGAACUGUCCAGCUGCAGCAUGCAUGUAUUGUGUGGUCUUGUCUUUUUUUUUUUGGUCAAGCCUUGUCUAAUGUCUGUGAGAAUCACUGAAGCCACGCCAAAGACAAUUUUCUGUUUCAUGGGUGUAACACAGUGUUUCGCAACCUUUUUUUAGGCGAGGCACCCUUUCAGUUCAUGAAAAAUUUCAAGGCACCCCAAACCAACAAGCCAUAACAUGGCAUUGCAUCCCAUACCACACAAGCUUAGAAAAGUAGCACAUUUGGAGAGGUCACACGACCUACGUUCGAAGUUGCAGCUGACUAGGGCGACCUAUAUUUACUUUAUUGUGUGUAAAUGGCAAAUGAAAGAUUCCACUGACUAGCAUUAACUUAUGCAAUAUAAUACAUAUUUGUCUAAAUUGAUUAUUUAUUUAUCAGCCACGUUUCCGUGGCACCCUUGAGGGUGGCCCGCGGCACCCCAGGGUGCCCCGGCACCCCUGUUGAGAAACACUGGUGUAACAGACAAUAAAGUUGUAUCUAAUCUAA